rnacentral:rRNA from 1 species
UACAGGGGGUGCAAGCGUUGCUCGGAAUCAUUGGGCGUAAAGGGUGCGUAGGCGGCGCGGUAAGUCGGGUGUGAAAUCUCGGAGCUUAACUCCGAAACUGCAUUCGAUACUGCCGUGCUUGAGGACUGGAGAGGAGACUGGAAUUUACGGUGUAGCGGUGAAAUGCGUAGAUAUCGUAAGGAAGACCAGUGGCGAAGGCGGGUCUCUGGACAGUUCCUGACGCUGAGGCACGAAGGUCAGGGGAGCAAACGGG